UCCUUAAUGCAGCCGGAGCCGAUGGCUCCGCCGGUCCCAAGCCCGGAAAGAUGCAGAGGGAGGA
rnacentral:ribozyme from 2 species